CUCCCCCAGCCUCGCUGCCUCCUUGCAGUUUGAUCUCAGACUGCCCUGCUAGCAAUCAGCGAGACUCCGUGGGUGUAGGACCCUCCAAGCCAGGUGCCGGAGAUAAUCUCGUGGUGCGCCGUUUUUUAAGCCCGUUGGAGAAGCGCAGUAUUCGGGUGGGAGUGACCCGAUUUUCCAGGUGCUGUCUGUCACCCCUUUCUUUGACUUGGAAAGGGAACUCCCUGACCCCUUGCGCUUCCCAAGUGAGGCAAUGCCUCGCCCUGCUUCGGCUCGCGCACAGUGCGCGCACCCACUGACCUGAGCCCACUCUCUGGCACUCCCUAGUGAGAUGAACCUGGUACCUCAGAUGGAAAUGCAGAAAUCACCUGUCUUCUGCCUCGCUCACACUGGGAGCUGUAGACCGGAGCUGUUCCUGUUCGGCCAUCUUGGCUCCUCCCGGAAGGUACAUUUUUAAAGCCCCUUUUCUGCACUACUCCUGGGGAAUGAAGCCUCUGAAAGUGCUUAUGCAUCCACAUAAAAUGGUGAAACAGAAAAGUGGCUUAGUCAGUGCUCUUCCUUCAGGUCCUCAGCUUGUAUCAUCCAUGAAGACGUGGCCAGUGUUCCACUACUGGAAGCCCUUUCUCAGCCCUGGAUGACUGAAAAUCCCUCCCAAGCCAAAGGAGCCCCGACUGUAGCAGAUCAAAAGAGAGAAGAGAGAACAUAGUACCAAGAAGACAUACACCUCAUGGUGGACGGUAUGUUCAGCCUCCCAGACUGCACUUCAGUACAGAAAGACUUCCUCCAAAUACUGUCAACCUCUCUUGGCUGAAGACAGCUGCCUUGACGAGGGUUUUGCUUCUUCCCAGUGCCAGCCUGCAUCCAACGAGUAGUUGAUGGGGACAGGGUAUAUCGCCCCUGCUCAAAAGGGCCAUUCAAUGUCAGAGUUCCCCAAAGUUGAUUACAAACUGAACUUCUCCUCUAGCUAAUCUGGUUUUCUUCCAUUUCUGUACAGGUAUUGAUCCCAAGUAGUUCUAAUGCCUUCCUGCACCUGCUCCCUUUCCCAGAGACUGCUUUCUAGGUAAUCCAGUUUACAAUAGAUUUCUUCAUUCUUUUCACUGGUGAUCUUAAAAUCUUGAUAUAGGAAACAGCUUCAUCCCACUGGUCCCAUUGUGUUCAUGACUGUUUCACCAGAGGAAGGGUGCUAGGCUAGGUAGGUAAUACUCACAAUGUAGACUGUUGAAAAAAAUGAAAUGGUAGUGAAAAAACAGAGACACAAAAGGCUUUAAAAUCAUGUAGACAAAGGGUACUUCCUACUGGUGCUAUGUGGUCUUGAGCAAAGUACUAAGCCUCUCUGGGCCUAUCUUACAUACUUCAUAAGGUUGUUGUGAUAAUUAUACAAGAUCAUGCAAAAUGAGAGCCUAGGGCAGUAAAAGGCAAAAUUAUUGGUAAUUUCUACUAGUAACCAUUGUUUGUGUGAUUCAUCUUUUACAUUAAAUGUAGCCAGAAUAAGACGAUGUACUUAAAGUGUGUACUAUUUUUCUAAUUAUCUGCUGGAAUGUGAUGUCAGUUUAAUGAGUUUUAAUUAAACUGCAGUGGAAUUACAGGAGGGUCAGAGAAUUGAAUUCUAA
rnacentral:lncRNA from 1 species